rnacentral:rRNA from 1 species
AUUGAACGCUGGCGGAAUGCUUUACACAUGCAAGUCGAGCGGCAGCGCGGGGGCAACCCUGGCGGCGAGCGGCGAACGGGUGAGUAACAUAUCGGAACGUACCCAGUCGUGGGGGAUAACUAUCCGAAAGGAUAGCUAAUACCGCAUACGACCUGAGGGUGAAAGCGGGGGACCGUAAGGCCUCGCGCGAUUGGAGCGGCCGAUAUCGGAUUAGCUAGUUGGUGAGGUAAAGGCUCACCAAGGCGACGAUCCGUAGCUGGUCUGAGAGGACGACCAGCCACACUGGAACUGAGACACGGUCCAGACUCCUACGGGAGGCAGCAGUGGGGAAUUUUGGACAAUGGGGGCAACCCUGAUCCAGCCAUUCCGCGUGAGUGAAGAAGGCCUUCGGGUUGUAAAGCUCUUUCAGCAGGAACGAAACGGUGGUCCCUAAUACGGGCUACUAAUGACGGUACCUGAAGAAGAAGCACCGGCUAACUACGUGCCAGCAGCCGCGGUAAGGCUACGUAGA